rnacentral:lncRNA from 1 species
CGACACCCAUCAUGCCAUCAAAAGGACUUUUCCAAGGCUUGUAAUGAGGUUGGGCUAAGAAGAAAGAAUUGGUUUUUCUAGAAUGCAAAAUCCUUGAGUCAAGAGAGCUAUUAAAAUAUUCAACAUUUAAGCACAACUCUCUUCCUCACCAAUCUCUCUCAUUCCCAACUUUUCCCUUUUCUUUUUCUUUUGCAUUGAGCUUUUU